GACAGCAAAUGUGGUCCUCUUAUUCAAGAAGGGCAGCAGGGAUAAGCCAGAUCAACGGCCUCCAA